ACUAACUUCAUCUCCCAUGUCCACCAGCGUCCUUGCCAUCCCAGAAUGGGCCAUCAAGAACUUGAGCACUUGGAUUGCUAAAACCCAACUGAGCAGUCACCACAGAAAAAGAGGGAAAAGGUAUAGAAAUUCCACCAAAACACCAGUUUUUAUAUUACUGUGAUACCCUCAAUAUUACUGUCAAACACCAAAUCUAAAUGCUCUAGCCCAUGCCAAUUCAGAACCUCCAUUAGAGGAGCUUGAAAAUGAACCUUAC
rnacentral:lncRNA from 1 species